UAUGUCUACCGGAAAGGACUAAAAUUAACAAGGACGCUCCAUCAAACAAUACAAAAUCAAUAGAGGGGGAGAUUGAUUGUUUUCCCCUACAGUGGGCGGGACUUAAGUGUGGUCUGUCCUUAUGGCUAAUGUGGUAUACAUCCACUGAAGAUGAAGGGAAGAAAGGAGCAGCAGGGUCUUUGGAAAUAUCUGAUUGGAUUGCACUGUAGACAUCUGCAAGAAAGAGCUUUGAUGAUGCAACCCACUGCUGAAAAACAGUCAGGUGAGGUUACACCGUCCUCCAACCCGCUCUGCUAUCUAAUGAUGAACUCCUUUGAAGUUAAAAGGAGCUCAGCAUGGAUCUGUUCUUUUAUCUGCAUACGGAUAGCGAAUGAGUGGACUUUUCCCACACAAGAUUGGGCGAUCAAUACUUCUAGCUGGCGGAUUUCAGUGAUGUUUUUAGAUACGUUCGAAUGAAAUAAAAAGGAUGCUGGGAGUGCUCAGCUGAAACAACAACUUCACAUGUAUUGUUUAUGAGCAUGCACAAGUGGGACCAAUUACUCAACUGAAUAGCAAAAAACUAACUCGGAGACGAAUGAUACACCAGCUGAGAUCCACACAGCAACAUGGCAGUCUGGCACGCCGAUGGAUUUCUCAAUUAAGGAGUCUUGAUGAGAGUUUUUGUAAACAUUGUUAUUGCAAAAGUGAAGUAAUGUGGCACACCUGGCUUAACUCCACGGUGAGGUAAACAAGGAAAGGAAGUAAACUUAUCGAACAGGAACAAGACGCUUACUGUUAAGUUUUGUCUCACAUUCUGAAAAAAAAAAAAAAAACCUUAAAAAAAAAUUCCUCAUCCAUUAUUCCUGACUGAGAGUCCUCAUUUUGAUGAAGCUGUUUAUAGUAGUUCAUGUCCUUGUUUUCAGAAUCAUAAUUUUUUUUUAAAUUAUUAUAGCCGAGUAUGUUUUGUGUAUUGGUGCAUAAGAAGAAACAAACAAAGUACAAAAAUAUAGAUAUAGAUUAAGGCAAGUACUUCAGUAGCUUAAAUAGAAAAUGUAUAGAGCAGAAAGGUCAGCAUU